rnacentral:rRNA from 1 species
AGAACGAACGCUGGCGGCACGCCUAACACAUGCAAGUCGAGCGCCCAGCAAUGGGAGCGGCGGACGGGUGAGUAACACGUGGGAAUAUGCCUUUCGGUACGGAACAACUCAGGGAAACUUGAGCUAAUGCCGUAUACGCCCUUACGGGGAAAGAUUUAUCGCCGAAAGAUUAGCCCGCGUCUGAUUAGCUAGUUGGUGAGGUAAUGGUUCACCAAGGCUUCGAUCAGUAGCUGGUUUGAGAGAACGACCAGCCACACUGGGACUGAGACACGGCCCAGACUCCUACGGGAGGCAGCAGUGGGGAAUCUUGGACAAUGGGGGAAACCCUGAUCCAGCGAUGCCGCGUGAGUGAUGAAGGCCUUCGGGUUGUAAAACUCUUUCGACGGGGACGAUAAUGACGGUACCCGUAGAAGAAGCUCCGGCUAACUUCGCGCCAGCAGCCGC